CCUACGGGAGGCAGCAGUGAGGAAUAUUGGUCAAUGGACGCAAGUCUGAACCAGCCAAGCCGCGUGAAGGAAGACGGCUCUAUGAGUUGUAAACUGCUUUUGUAUGAGGGUAAAGGCAAAUAUGCGUAGCUGUUUGAAAGUAUCUUACGAAUAAGGAUCGGCUAACUCCGUGACAGCAGCCGCGGUAAUACGGAGGAUUCGAGCGUUAUCCGGAUUUAUUGGGUUUAAAGGGUGCGUAGGCGGUCGGAUAAGUCAGAGGUGAAAUCCCGAGGCUCAACCGCGGAAUUGCCGGUGAUACUGUUAGCCUAGAGAGUAGUUGAGGUAGGCGGAAUGCAUGGUGUAGCGGUGAAAUGCUUAGAGAUCACGAAGAACACCGAUUGCGAAGGCAGCUUAC
rnacentral:rRNA from 1 species